AGGUUGUUGUUCCAGGCAUCCCAGAUCCACCCACAAGUUAGGUAAGCAAAUCGCCAGAUUACUCCAAGAGGUAAAACACCUAAAGGAGAAUGGAGAUUUUAGUGAUGUGGCCUGCAAGCCACCAAUUCCUUCCGCAACUAAACGACCUUCUAAGCCAACUGUGGGUUUAGAGUCCAAUUUCAAUCAGGUUUGGAAUUGUCUUCGAAAGGAACAAGUGGGAAUUAUUGGCAUAUAUGGUUUAGGAGGAGUUGGCAAGACAACCCUCCUAAACGAAAUCAAUAACAAAUUCCAUGAUAUGUCUCAUGAUUACCAUGUUAUUUGGGCGGUUGCAUCGCAAGAUCGGCCAAUUGAGAAGGUUCAGGACCAGAUUGCCGAAAGAAUAGGCUUGCUGGCCGAGGGUCUGAAAUCUAUUGAAGAGAAAGCUGAAGACAUCUUCAAUGUAUUAUGUAAAAAGAAGUUUGCAUUGUUGUUGGAUGAUAUAUGGGAAUGGUUUGAUCUCACAAGAGCUGGGGUACCUCUUCCAACACAAGAAAAUGGCUCUAAAGUCAUUUUCACAACUCGUCGUCUUGACGUGUGCUGUCAAAUGCAACUGAACAUGGAUAAUAAUAUCAGAGUGGAAUGUUUGCCACCAGGAGAAGCUUUCAAACUGUUCGAGGAAAAGGUUGGAUCAGAAACCCUUCGAAUGCAUCCAGAUAUUUGCAAGUUAGCUGAAGCAGUGGUUGCAGAGUGUGCAGGGCUACCUCUCGCUCUCGUUACAAUUGGGCGAGCCAUGGCAUCCAAAAAGACCCCUCGAGAAUGGGAAUAUGCUACAGAAUUUUUAAGGCAAUUAGCAGCCUCUGUGCUGCCAGGGGUAGGGAAAGAGAUGUAUCCCAAGUUAAAAUUCAGUUAUGACUGUUUACCUGAUGAAAGGUUCAGAUCUUGUUUCCUGUAUUGUUCUUUAUAUCCAGAAGAUUAUCUCAUCGAAGAAGACGAACUAGUAUAUUGUUGGAUCGGGGAAGGACUUUUGGACGAGCAUACUAAUUUGAGCAAUGCUAGAAACCAGGGACAUUUCAUUAUAGGUUCUCUUAUUGAGGCAUGCUUAUUGGGGAAAUGACCAAUUAACGUUGAUGUAAAGAUGCACGAUGUGAUUCGCGACAUGGCUUUGUGGAUUGCUGGUGAAUCUGAGAAGAAGUUUUUUGCAAAAUCAGGUGUUCAGUUAAAGGAACAACCGAAAGCUAAAAAGUGGGAAGAGGUAACAAGAAUGUCGCUAAUGGAAAAUCAAAUUGAAAAUCUAAGUGAGAUAUUGGAAUGUCCCAAUCUCCAAACUUUGUUUCUUGGCAGGAAUGAUUUGAAGGUAAUCAUAGAUGAUUUCUUUAAUUUCAUGCCGAUGCUAAGGGUUCUGGAUUUGUCCCAUAAUAAGAAGUUGGAAGAAUUGCCAGUAGGAAUUGCAAAGUUGGUUUCACUAGAACAUCUCAAUUUGUCACGGACAAGAAUAAAAUGUUGGAACAUUUUCAAAUAUUUAUAGUAUCCCAAUAACUAUAAAUGAAUGGGUGUAAUUAAUCAAAAAACUUUUGGUCAUUGGUCAAAAGUUAUAUCAUUUGAUUUUUUUUAAAAAGAAUUAUAAUUAUUCAAAAAAUAUUAUUUGAAUAGUUACAAAUUAAAUGAAUAAUUAUUAUUAUAUAUUUAUUCAUAAAGACACCUAUUGAAAGAUGUCUCUAUGAAGAGACAAGAAAAUUCCUAUAAAUAGGAAUGGGUUUUUCAUUUGGAAAUAUAUCAACAAAUUCUAAUAUUAUUUCUUCUCUUCCUUCAUUUUCUAAUAUUAUUAGAUUAUUCUAUAAAGUAUUGCUGCAGAAAUCCUUUGUAGAAAUUGAGUUUUUGUUAUACAUUACUCAGUGCAUAGUGGACUAUUCUCGUCAGUGCAAAACGCAAAUAGUCAUUGGCUUCAUUGUAUCCUCGAGGUUAAUUUGCUUGGAACUCGUUUGCACACUGAAGAUAAGUGGGGGCGAAUAUAACCUUAUUGAUAAUGGCUUGAUACAUGCCUUGGAGCCUUGUCCUAUUUCUUCUUUUCUUUUCAAGUUCUGAUCGUGUGUUCGAGAUUUUCCUUACCGGAGUUCUGUAAUAACAAUUUUAAGGUUAUACUUCAUGAUGACUACCACAACACAUGAAAGUGGAACACUAAGGGAGUUGGCUUCCAACUUUGUUAAACUUGAUCGUUUUGAUGGUGGCAAUUUUCGACGAUGGCAGAAAAAGAUGCACUUUUUGUUAUCAACUUUGAAGAUUGCUUAUGUUUUGGAUACUCCAAGACCUGAAGAGAAUGAAAAUGAAUCUGUUGCUGCAACCCGAGAAAGACAAAAAUGGGACAAUGCUGAUUACAUGUGCAUGGGCCACAUAUUGAAUGGUUUAUCUGAUGGUUUGUUCGACACCUACCAAAACGACGUCACCGCUAAAGAAUUAUGGGACAAAUUAGAGGUAAGAUACAUGACCGAAGAUGUUACAAGUAAGAAAUUUCUUGUCAGUCGUUUCAAUAAUUAUCAAAUGGUUGAUGGUCGUUUUGUUAUGGAACAAUUUCGUGAUAUUGAAAAGAUGCUGAAUCAAUUUAAGCAAUAUGAUAUGAAAAUGGAUGAAAUGAUUGUGGUAUCCUCCAUAAUAGACAAACUUCCUCCAUCUUGGAAAGACUUUAAAAGAAGUCUAAAACAUAAGAAAGAGGAAAUAUCUCUUGAGGCUUUGGCAAAUCAUCUUCGUAUUGAAGAAGAGUAUCGAAAACAAGAUCAAAACCUAAAUUCUGAAAAUGCCAAAGUACAUGUUAAGGAGGAAGUACAGACUACUAAACCAUUCAAGAGAAAGUUCAAUCAGACUGAUAGAGCACCUAAGUUCAAAAAGAAACAAAAGGGCUCAUGCUAUCAUUGUGGAAAGCCGGGACAUUUCAAGAAUGAAUGUCGAUUUUUAAAGAAGAAAUCAUCUUCUAAGGCUGAUAAUAACGAAAAGUUCAUUGCAAUGAUAUCUGAAAUUAAUAUGGCACAAGAUGAUAAUACAUGGUGGAUUGAUACCGGAGCAACCAAACAUGUGUGCAAAGACAAAAGCAUGUUCACAAAGUUCACACAAUGUGAAAAUGACAAUGUCUUGUACAUGGGAAAUUCUUCCACCGCAACAAUUAAAGGCAAAGGGUCUGUUGAACUACAAUUCACUUCUGGAAAGGUUUUAACCUUAAAUGAUGUAUAUUAUGUACCAGAAGUUAGGGAAAAUUUAGUGUCUGGAAGUCUGUUGAAUAAAUUUGGUUUCAAACUUGUUUUUGAGGCAGAUAAGUUUAUUUUGUCUAAGGGAGGAAUUUUUGUGGGAAAAGGGUAUAUGUAUGAAAGCAUGUUCAAACUUAAUAUUAUUAAUAAGAAUAAAAAUACUAUUUCUGCUUAUAUGGUUGAAUCAUUUUGUUUGUGGCAUUAUAGAUUAGGUCAUUUGAAUUAUAGAAAAUUGAAUGACAUGUAUAAAUUAGAUUUAAUUCCUGUUUUUAAUAAUAAUAUUGAAAAAUGCAAUACCUGUAUGUUGACUAAAAUUACAAGAAAUCCUUUCCCUAAGGUUAAAAGGAAAACAAAAUUGCUUGAUUUGAUACAUAGUGAUUUAUGUGACUUGCAUAAUACUCCUACAUUAGGUGGAAAGAAAUAUUUUGUUACUUUUAUUGAUGAUUGUUCUAGAUAUUGUUAUGUAUAUUUAUUGCAUUCAAAAGAUGAAGCGCUUGAUAAAUUUAAAGUUUAUAAAUCUGAAGUUGAACUUCAGUGUGAAUCAUUUAUCAAGUGCUUAAGAUCAGAUAGAGGUGGAGAAUACUAUAAUCCAAGUUAUUUUGAACUCACUGGAAUUGUCCAUCAAGUUUCAGCCCCUUACACACCACAACAAAAUGGUGUAGCUGAAAGGAAAAAUAGAGUCUUGACUGAAAUGGUAAAUUCAAUGUUAUCAUAUUCAGGUCUUGGACAAGGUUUUUGGGGAGAAGCUGUUCUAACAGCUUGUCAUAUAUUGAAUAGAGUUCCUAAUAAGGAAACUAAAAUAACCCCCUAUGAACAAUGGAAGAAAAAGAAACCAAACCUUAAUUAUUUAAAGGUUUGGGGUUGUAGAGCUAUUGUAAAAGUUCCAACACCUAAACGUAAAAAGUUAGGUGAAAGAGGAAUUGAAUGCAUAUUUAUAGGUUAUGCACAUAUUAGCAAGGCAUAUAGGUUCAUAGUAAUUGAACCAAAUGAUUCAAUUUCAAUUAAUACGGUUAUUGAAUCAAGAGAUGCUAUUUUUGAUGAAAAUAGAUUUAAUUCUAUAUCAAGACAAUUACAACCACAACAAUUGAUUCAUUCUUCAAAUGAGAAUGAGAUUCCAUUGAAACAAAUUGAUAAUAAUGAUGAAUCUUGUCAAGAAUUAAGAAGAAGUAAGAGGAUUAAAAAGGUCAAAGAUUUUGGACCAGAUUUCAUUAUGUUUCUUGUAGAAGGAAAAGGUGAAAGUAUAUGCAAUAAGAUACCUUAUUGUUAUAAUACCGAAUCUGAUCCUAUUACAUUUGAAGAAGCAGUGAAAUCUCAAGACUCUACUUUUUGGAAAGAAGCAAUAAAUGAUGAAAUGGAUUCAAUAAUGGGAAAUCAAACUUGGAUCUUAGUUGAUCUUCCACCAGGUUCCAAACCAAUAGGUUGUAAAUAGAUCUUCAAAAAGAAAAUGAAGGUCGAUGGAACCAUUGAUAAAUUUAAAGCAAGGUUGGUAGCAAAAGGUUUUACACAAAGACAAGGUAUUGAUUACUUUGAUACCUAUGCUCCAGUAGCAAGAAUUGCUACAUUAGACUAUUAAUAUCACUUACCUCUAUAUAUAAUUUGGUUGUUCACCAAAUGGAUGUUAAAACUGCAUUUUUAAAUGGUGAAUUGGAAGAGGAAGUGUACAUGGAGCAACUGGAAGGAUUUGUUGUUCCAGGACAAGAGCAUAAGGUAUGUAAGCUUGUUAAAUCUUUAUAUGGGCUUAAACAAGCACCAAAACAAUGGCACCAAAAUUUUGACAAGGUUGUUUUAGCUAAUGGCUAUAAAAUAAAUGAAUCCGAUAAGUGCAUAUAUAGUAAAUUUGAUAAUGGAAAGGGUGUUAUAAUUUGCUUAUAUGUAGAUGACAUGCUCAUUUUUGGCACGGAUUUAGAACAAAUAGAAAACACAAAGAAAUUCUUGUCAAACAACUUUGCUAUGAAGGAUAUGGGUGUAGCAGAUGUUAUUCUUGGGAUUAAAAUAACCCGAGAUGAAAGCACUAUAGCUUUAUCACAAUCACAUUACAUUGAAAAUGUGCUUAAAAAGUUUGAUCUUUUCAACUGUAUACCAGCAUCUACACCCAUGGAUCCUCAAUUAAAAUUAGUAUCUAAUGCUGGUAGGAAAAUUGAUCAAUUGAAAUAUGCAAGUCUAAUUGGUUGUCUUAUGUACAUAAUGACUUGUACAAGACCAGAUAUUGCAUAUGCUGUUGGAAAAUUGAGUAGAUACACAAGUAAUCCAAGUAGUUUGCAUUGGAAAGCUUUAAAUAGAGUACUUAGGUACUUAAAGAAAACUAUUAACUAUGGAUUAUGUUAUAAUGGAUAUCCUCCAGUUUUAGAAGGGUAUUCGGAUGCUAGUUGGAUUACAAGUUUGGAAGAUCAUGCAUCUACUAGUGGGUGGAUCUUCAUUCUUGGUGGAGGAGUCAUUUCUUGGGGUUCCAAGAAACAAACAUGUAUUACUGAUUCCACCAUGGCAGCAGAAUUUAUUGCAUUAGCCGCUGCAUCUAAAGAAGCAGAAUGGUUAAGAAAUUUGCUUUAUGAUGUACCUUUAUGGCUUAAGCCAAUUUCACCUAUUUCUAUCCGUUGUGAUAGUGAGGCUACUCUAGCAAAGGCAUAUAGCCAAGUAUAUAAUGGAAAGUCUAGACACAUUGGAUUAAGACAUAGUUAUGUCCGACAAUUAAUCUCUGAUGGAGUGAUCACUAUUAAUUAUGUGAGGUCAAGUGAAAAUUUGGCAGAUCCUUUGACAAAAAGUCUUGCUAGAGAUGCAGUAAAAAGGACCUCAAAAGGGAUGGGACUCAAGCCUAUUAAUUAGAGUCACCCAUGAUGGAAACUCGACUCAACGCUUGGUAUAACGUCAAGUCUUGAGUUCAAUGAGACAAAGUACAUCAUUAGUAUGUGACUGUUAGCACUAUAAAUAAAUCCAUCCUAAGAUUAAAGUGCUAGGUACCCGUAAUGAUAAGGGAACGAUGAGUAAUGUACUCUUAAUGGACCCAUAACAUAAAUAUGUUAGAGUGUUAUAAUUACGGGAACACUUUUGAUGGGAUCUACCUAUGUGAGUGGAAGUGUGGCCGCUUCUAGGAGCUUAAGGGCUUGGCUCUGACAGCACUCAUGAAAAGAGGACAUAGACACAUGGCUAUAAUAGUGUCCCUAGAUACUAUGCAUUGACUGAUGUUGAAAUCAUUGUGUGAGAUGUGUUCAGUUAAUCAAAUGGAAUAGUUGGUUCAAAGCUUAGUCUACCAUGCAAUUUCGAUUAACUUUAACAUGUUUUCACUAAGUGAAGGUUCAAUCGUAAGACACCUUUAUUUAUGCAAAUUGAUUUCCAAGAAUAUCAAAAUCUAAAUAUUUUGAAAAUGGGGGGAGAUUGUUGGAACAUUUUCAAAUAUUUAUAGUAUCCCAAUAACUAUAAAUGAAUGGGUGUAAUUAAUCAAAAGAUAAAACUUUUGGUCAUUGGUCAAAAGUUAUAUCAUUUGAUUUUUUAAAAAAAGAAUUAUAAUUAUUCAAAAAAUAUUAUUUGAAUAGUUACAAAUUAAAUGAAUAAUUAUUAUUAUAUAUUUAUUCAUAAAGACACCUAUUGAAAGAUGUCUCUAUGAAGAGACAAGAAAAUUCCUAUAAAUAGGAAUGGGUUUUUCAUUUGGAAAUAUAUCAACAAAUUCUAAUAUUAUUUCUUCUCUUCCUUCAUUUUCUAAUAUUAUUAGAUUAUUCUAUAAAGUAUUGCUGCAGAAAUCCUUUGUAGAAAUUGAGUUUUUGUUAUACAUUACUCAGUGCAUAGUGAACUAUUCUCGUCAGUGCAAAACGCAAAUAGUCAUUGGCUUCAUUGUAUCCUCGAGGUUAAUUUGCUUGGAACUCGUUUGCACACUGAAGAUGAGUGGGGGCGAAUAUAACCUUAUUGAUAGUGGCUUGAUACACGCCUUGGAGCCUUGUCUUAUUUCUUCUUUUCUUUUCAAGUUCUGAUCGUGUGUUCGAGAUUUUCCUUACCGGAGUUCUGUACUAACAUAAAAAAGUUGCCAGUCGAAUUGAAGACCCUAGCAAAGCUGAAAUAUUUGAAUUUGGAGUGGACAGUGGAUCUAGAAAUGAUCCCACAACAAUUGAUAUCCAGUUUCUCCAAGUUGCAAGUACUGAAAAUGGAGGGAUGUGGCUUUGGAUGUUUGGUUUUGGAGGAAAUGGAGCAUUUAAAAUAUUUGAAUGUGUUGACUCUUACUUUUACAUGCGCUUCGGAGUUGGAAAAAGCUUCGAGGUUCAACAAGUUCUUUAGCUGUGCCAUUGAACAUGUAAGCCUUGUAGGUUUCAGAGAUUCAAGAUCAUUGAAUAUUAUGGCUUUAGCAAAACUGCAGCAUCUAUGUACUUUAAGGCUCUGGAGUUGUAUGGAUCUAGAGGAAGUGAAGAUCGAACGUAGCAUAAUUGAAGGUGCAGGAUGCUUCCAUAGCCUUCGAUAUGUAACCGUAGACAAAUGCAAUCAUUUGGAAGAUGUGAGUUGGGUAACUUUUGCUCCACAUUUGGAACAACUAUAUAUAUUGGAAUGCCAAGCUUUAGAAGAAAUCAUCAGUGAAGAAAAACUUGGUAAAGUCGCUGAGCUAAAAGGAAAUUCAAACUUAUUUUCUAAGCUCGAGCGUUUGGCGCUAUAUCAUCUGCACAAAUUAAGCACAAUCUAUUGCCAUGCUCUGCCUUUCCCACAGCUGCUGGAAGUAUGCAUUAUGGAAUGCCCAAUGUUAAAGAAGCUGCCACUAAACUCCAAUAGUGCAAAAGGACAGAGGCUCAUCAUUGAAGGAGAGGAGGGAUGGUGGAAAGAUGUAGAAUGGGAGGAUGAAUCCACUAAAAUUGCUUUUCUCCCCACUUUCAAACCUCUUAUAUAGUAAGAAAUGUUGGAUACUAAUUAAGGGUUAAAACCAUUAUUGUAUCAUAACAUGUGUCAUUGCAAGUUCUAUUUUGUUUAUCCCUGAAUUACAUGUAGUUUGAUUUUUUGUUUAUAUAAAACAAAAGGUUUGAAUUUGAGAAUAUAUGAUGUUAAUGAAUGAUAAUUUGAAGUAUAACUCUCAACACAUCACAUCAUUUUCUUUUAAUUCUAUAACUAAAAAUUUUGAUAAUUAUAGUAAAAUUAAAAUUUUUACUAUUCUGUAUAUUUAAAAAUGAGAUAAAUUUUCUUAUAGGAGAGUCUACUAUAAAUGUGUUAAUUAUAAAUUUGUAAUUUUAAAAAGAGAAAAAUUAAGUUUAAAUAUAAUUUAGUUUCAUUCAAAAUACAUGUUAUCGUAAAAAGAGGUGUUUCAUAAGCAUAAUAUCAAUAAAUAAAUAAAAAAAACUUAUCAUGUAAGAUUAUAUACCAAAUAUUGAUAAUUAUAUUCAAUUACAUAAUAUAAAUGCUACAAUAUUUCAAUAUUUGUAUAUUAAAAUUCAUUAAUACAAAUUACUAACAUUUUAAAAUUUUUAUGAUUAUAGAAUGCUACUGCAAAAAUUUAACAUAUAAUUUUCUUUAUGAUGUUUCUGCAAAGAUUUCUUCCAUUGGAAUUAGCCUCCAAUGUUUGAAAUUAUUGAUGCAAGGUAAGUGAAUGUUUUGGUUGUUUUAUAUGUCUGUUAAUUCACAUUUAAUUGUAUUGGCAACUAAAUGUUUUGAUAUAUUGGACUUCAAUAGAGAUUUGCUGAUUAGGGAGGUAGUUCUUGGAAAGACCCCAACAUGUUGAAGGUCCGAUAUCUCUCCCCGAAUAGGUUUGCUUUAGUUUUCAAUCUCCUUUUCAGUUCUAUCUCAUAUAUGUUUUAAGCAAUAUGAGUGACCAUCUUCAUGCAGAUAAUUUUAUAGAGCUAAGAAAACAUAAUGUGUAACUUUGACAGAAACUUAAGCAAUAAGGUUCAAUGUCUUGCUAAUCAAACAAGAAAAUCGGCUAGAGUUUCAUGACCAAAAUUGCUUAAGAAAAACCAAAUGAAGGAAGAAUUUUGAAAGAUUUUCCAUUCCCAUGAAUGAAGGCACAAAGCCAUUACAUAUACCAAGCAUUUCAGCUGGUCAAAAAAGAUGAAAAUAUUACCUAAACAUGUACCUAAUCCACUAAGUAACCUAGAAACUUGAUAAACAUAACUUGUACACUUGGUAAAGCUGAUUUAUUAAUCUAUCAGAACCUAAUUACAUCAAGUAUGCUAACAACUUGGUUCAUAUCUAACUAAGUAGCAAAACAGCCACUUGAAAGUAUCAAAACAUCAGCAUGAGAUUCAGCAGCAACUUGCAUGGCUCGGGUAGCUUGGUCUGCUUCAUGGUCUGCAUGGAAGCCAACUUCAACAUAAUUGUCAAUGGUGGAGCACUAUUUUCCAGACAGAUUGUGACAGUUUCAAAUAGUCAAGGAAGAGUAAAUGUGUUGAGUUGUGAUUAAUAACAAAGACAAUAACCAAAUCUUAUUUGUGUUUGAAAGAUUAAAAACAGAAGGAAAAAACAAUUUCAAGUGAUGAUGAACAAAGCUAUAUCUUCAUUACUUGAAUAAUAACUUAAGUUACAUCCAUAAGUAGUUCAAAUUACAUAGAAAGAAAACAAAGCUUGCUUGUGCAAGUGUCUAAACCAUUACAUCAACAUAAUGACAACCUAAAUGACUACUAAAUCAGCUAAGCACACAAUUAAACCUUAGCUGAACAAAACAACAAAUGAUUACAACAUAAACUAGCAAAAGUCAACUGUGUAAAGACACUGCAGUCGAAUUUCACCAUGGACAUUAGCAUGCUUCAGCUGUGUUCCUGGUCCCUUGCAUGCUUCAACAGUCUUGCAUAAUUUCCUGCAUGUUGCUGCUGAGUUGCCACCUUUGAACAAAAUGCUUAUGAUAAGCAGUGUUAUCCUGUGGCAUGGUUCACUGAUUUUCUUUCCGUAAGGUUUUGGAAAAGAUGGAGAAGAACGCAUGGUUUAUUCAUUGAUGAUAAUUGGCUGAAUUUAUACAAGUAGAAAACUGACUCGGGUAACCGUAGUUAUUCAAAUAACAAGUUGGAUUUUAUUGUCAUAUAUGUAUCAUUAAACACAUGGUCUUGAAUUUAGCUACCUUCAUCUUCCAAUGCUGUCUCUUGUGUUUCCUUUUCUGAUCAUUGUUUAAGUGGCAAUAAUGGUGCUUGUAUGAAUGCUACUGAUUCAGUCCUAUCAGUAAGUGAGAAAAGCUUUUGUUGGAACUCUAGCUUCCCUUUGGAUACCAAAAAAGUCCAGGGCUGUAGGUGCUUUAGUUCUUUACUUCUGUUUACAUUCCUAGAACAGGGAUUUCGUUUGCUGAUGAAUGGCUAGGAAGGUGGCAGAGUAAUGUUCAAUGUUACUACCUAACAUGUUACACAUGCUGCGCUUAGUAUUCCUUUUUCUUUUUUUGAUGGGAUCUUAGUCCUCAAUAAUUGAGAUUCAUUGCAAGUUGCCAAUAAUUAACACACUGUUACUGCCCUGCCCAAAGCUACCAAUAAUUAACACAGUGUUAGUGGCCUGCCCAAAGCUACCAAAGAAAGUGCAACCCUUGAAAGAGAGAUGUAGGUCCAACCUGUGAGUUCCUUUAUUGGAUCAUACCAGUAAAAUACACGAAUGAUUUUGAUACUAAACAAACUUUUAGUGCAACUACGAGUAACUUAUAGUAUGAAUGUUGUAAUUUGCUUUUGUGGUAGGCACAGGGAGAGGAUUAAAUUCAGACUUUAGAAUGAAAUUCAGGUUCUAAAAUAGAAUAAGUAAUUGCAGGUUGUAUUCACUGAAGCUUGGUGGAGAUAGAAGAUGCUUUGCAGUGGACCCAUUGUGUCGAUAAUUACUACUUUAGCUCCACCUGUGUGAGCUUCCUGGAUCAGAGGAGGAAAUUAGAUGGAUGAGUUUCACUGUAAAAGGACUUUUGUGUAAUAAUAACGAUCAUAAAUGAUCUAAUAUUUUAUUUUGUUUUCAGGUAUGAAAAUCAGAUAUAAACUUCCCAAGAGUUUGUCUCUGUUUACCUGCAAAUUCUUCUGUCUCUCUGUUAUUUUUUCCCCUUAUAUCAUCCAUUGCUUUCGAUUUGCUGAAGAGCCUGUUUUUGCUUUUUCUUUUGUGUGUGUGUUUUUUUUCUUUUUGCUUUUGGUGUGCUGAGAGUUUGGGAUUUCUGUCAAAUCAACACCACUUACAUUAACCUAUCAACCUAACAGAUUAAAGGUAAAUAAAAUAAUCUAACAGCUUUAUCAAACAAAUUGACAGCUUCGGAGUUGUUGGAGGUUAGAUUGUACGCCACAUUGUUUGUCCGCCACUCUUGGACUAUUUGCCACAUUUGGAUUGUCCACCAUAUUUGGACUCUCCGACUCAUUUGGACUGUGUGCCGCCAAAGUCUAUCCGCUUGAUAGUCUGCCAACUGACAGUUCGUCAUACUCCUGGCGUUUAGCUUGUUCGCCAAUUGAGCGAGCUGUUGCAUGAAUGGUCAUCUUGCAACAAAAAAUUUGGUGAAGUCACUGAGCUAAAGGGGAAUUCAAACUUAUUUUCUAAGCUCAAGUUUAUGCAUCCACAUUAUUUGCUUGAAAUGAAGACAAUAUAUAGUCAUGCUCUGCCUUUCCCACAACUGAAGGAAAUAUCAAUUGUAGAAUGCCCGAUGCCGAAGAAGCUCCCACUAAACUCCAAUAGUUCAAAAGGACAGAGGCUCGUCAUUAAAGGGCAGAAGAAGUGGUGGAAAGAUGUAGAUUGGGAGGAUGAAUCCACUCCAAUUGCUUUUCAUUCCUCUUGUUGUAUCAUAGCAUUCCUCAUUGUCAGUUUUGUUUUGCUUGUCCCUAAAUUACAUGUAGAAUUAUGUAUAUUUAAAGAUGAGAUAAGUUAUUUUAUUAUAAUAGAGAAUAUAUAUGUGUUAAGUAUAAUUUUGGAAUUUGAAAAUUUUUUAUAUUGAAUUUUUAAGUUUUAAUAAAUUAAUAAAAUAUAAUUUUAUUUUCAUUAAAAGAAAACAUAAUAUUAAUAAAAAAUUUAAAUCUUAUCAUGCAUGAUCGGAUACUAAAUAUUGAUAAUUAUAUAAAUAAAAGAAUAUCUCAAUAUUUAUAUAGAAUUUAUUAACAUUUUUUAAUGUUUUUAUGAUUAUAGAAUAUGUAUAUUAUAUAAAAUUGUCAAAUUUGAGUACCGAAUAAUAUAUUAAGCCUUCCAAUAAAUAUUAACUUAAGAAAUUUAGAAACAAAUUUUUUUAAUUAAAUAUAAGAUAAAACCACUUAAAUUUAAUACAAUAUAUAAUUAUUUUUUUAUUUUAAAUAUUUGUUUAUAUAGUUUUUUUUAAUUUAAAAAAGUUUUGGAAAAUUAUUUUUAUUGAAAACAUAUUUAUAAAUAUAAAUAAUUUUAAUUAUUAUUGUUAAUAUUUUUAAAUUUUUAUACAUUUUUAAUUAACAAUUUCAAAAAGAAUAAUUGAAAUUAAUUUUUUAAUUUUGCAAGAUUUAGUAAGAAACUAAAAUUUAAAUUAAUAAAAGUAAAAUAUAUGAAAGAAAAUUAAAAAUUAAUUAAAAUAUCAAAAUAAAGAAUAAUUCUUUAUAUAAGGAUUUUUGACAGAGGCAUCAAUUUGACUUUCAUAUAUGAGAAUUAUAUAUAAUUCUUUAGUUAACAACAUUAAACUAAUUUAAUUAAUUAUAUUUACAUAAUAAAUUAAAUUAUUUUCACUGCACACCGAAAAUGCCUUACAAUGGACCCAUUGUGUUAAUAAUUGUAGUGUAUUUGUAAUACUAAAACUUUCAAAAUCAAAGAGAACUGUGUGCAAUACAAGUCAAUGGUUUUACACACUUUACUCUGAAACUAUCAUCAUUUUCGCUACUAAAAUACAUGCCAACUUCCAACACUUUGUCUCUGUUUACCCGCCAAUUUUCUUUCCCUGUUUUUGUUUACCAAAAUAUUCUUACUCUUUCAUAUAACUCCAUAAGCAUCUUUGAUCUAUUCCUUGCUUCUAUUUCCUGAAAUUGUUGAACUCACUCUUCUAAAAUCAAAACCAGGCAUGGGUAAUAUCUUCUCAAUCUCACUUUUACUCGAUACCAUCAUUACCCGUUGCUGGGAUUGUUGGAACAUCUUCAAAUAUUUAUAGUAUCUCAAUAACUAUAAAUGAAUGGGUGUAAUUAAUCAAAAGAUAAAUCUUUUGGUCAUUGGUCAGAAGUUAUAUCAUUUGAUUUUUUAAAAAAGAAUUAUAAUUAUUCAAAAAAUAUUAUUUGAAUAGUUACAAAAUUAAAUGAAUAAUUAUUAUAUAUUUAUUCAUAAAGACACCUAUUGAAAGAUGUCUCUAUGAAGAGACAAGAAAAUUCCUAUAAAUAGGAAUGGUUUUCAUUUGGAAAUAGAUCAACAAAUUCUAAUAUUAUUUCUUCUCUUCCUUCAUUUUCUAAUAUUAUUAGAUUAUUCUAUAAAGUAUUACUGCAGAAAUCCUUUGUAGAAAUUGAGUUUUUGUUAUACAUUACUCAGUGCAUAGUGGACUAUUUUCGUCAGUGCAAAACGUAAAUAGUCAUUGGCUUCAUUGUAUCCUCGAGGUUAAUUUGCUUGGAACUCAUUUGCACACUAAAGAUAAGUGGGGGCGAAUAUAACCUUAAAGAUAGUGGUUUGAUACACGCCUUGGAGCCUUGUCCUAUUUCUUCUUUUCUUUUCAAGUUCUGAUAGUGUGUUCGAGAUUUUCCUUACCGGAGUUCUGUACUAACAAUUUUAAGGUUAUAAUUCAUGAUGACUACCACAACACAUGAAAGUGGAACGCUAAGGGAGUUGGCUUCCAACUUUGUUAAACUUGAUGGGUUUGAUGGUGGCAAUUUUCGAAGAUGGCAGAAAAAGAUGCACUUCUUAUUAUCAACUUUGAAGAUUGCUUAUGUGUUGGAUACUUCAAGACCUGAAGAGAAUGAAAACGAAUCUGUUGCUGCAACCCGAGAAAGACAAAAAAAGGGACAAUGCUGACUACAUGUGCAUGGGCCAUUUAUUGAAUGGUUUAUCUGAUGGUUUGUUCGACACCUACCAAAACGAGGUUACUGCUAAAGAAUUAUGGGACAAAUUGGAGGCAAGAUACAUGACCGAAGAUGUUACAAGUAAGAAAUUUCUUGUCAGUCGUUUCAAUAAUUAUCAAAUGGUUGAUGGUCGUUCUGUUAUGGAACAAUUUCGUGAUAUUGAAAAGAUGCUGAAUCAAUUUAAGCAAUAUGAUAUGAAAAUGGAUGAAAUGAUUGUGGUAUCCUCCAUAAUAGACAAACUUCCUCCAUCUUGGAAAGACUUUAAAAGAAGUCUAAAACAUAAGAAAGAGGAAAUAUCUCUUGAGGCUUUGGCAAAUCAUCUUCGUAUUGAAGAAGAGUAUAGAAAACAAGAUCAGAAUCUAAAUUCUGAAAAUGCCAAAGUACAUGUUACGGAGGAAGUACAGACUACUAAACCAUUCAAGAGAAAGUUCAAACAGACUGAUAGAGCACCUAAGUUCAAAAAGAAACAAAAGGGCUCAUGCUAUCAUUGUGGAAAGCCGGGACAUUUCAAGAAUGAAUGUCGAUUUUUAAAGAAGAAAUCAUCUUCUAAGGCUGAUAAUAACGAAAAGUUCAUUGCAAUGAUAUCUGAAAUUAAUAUGGCACAAGAUGAUAAUACAUGCUGGAUUGAUACCGGAGCAACCAAACAUGUGUGCAAAGACAAAAGCAUGUUCACAAAAUUCACACAAUGUGAAAAUGACAAUGUCUUGUACAUGGGAAAUUCUUCCAUUGCAGCAAUUAAAGGCAAAGGGUCUGUUGAACUACAAUUCACUUCUGGAAAGGUUUUAACCUUAAAUGAUGUAUAUUAUGUACCAGAAGUUAGGAAAAAUUUAGUGUCUGGAAGUCUAUUGAAUAAGUUUGGUUUCAAACUUGUUUUUGAGGCAGAUAAGUUUAUUUUGUCUAAGAGAGGAAUUUUUGUGGGAAAAGGGUAUAUGUAUGAAAGCAUGUUCAAACUUAAUAUUAUUAAUAAGAAUAAAAAUACUAUUUCUGCUUAUAUGGUUGAAUCUUUUUGUUUGUGGCAUUAUAGAUUAGGUCAUUUGAAUUAUAGAAAAUUGAAUGACAUGUAUAAAUUAGAUCUAAUUCCUGUUUUUAAUAAUAAUAUUGAAAAAUGAAAUACAUGUAUGUUGACUAAAAUUACAAGAAACCAUUUCCCUAAGGUUAAAAGGAAAACAAAAUUGCUUGAUUUGAUACAUAGUGAUUUAUGUGACAUGCAUAAUACUCCUACAUUAGGUGGAAAGAAAUAUUUUGUUACUUUUAUUGAUGAUUAUUCUAGAUAUUGUUAUGUAUAUUUAUUGUAUUCAAAAGAUGAAGCGCUUGAUAAAUUUAAAGUUUAUAAAUCUGAAGUUGAACUUCAGUGUGAAUCGUUUAUCAAGUGCUUAAGAUUGGAUAGAGGUGGAGAAUACUAUAAUCCAAGUUAUUUUGAACUCACUGGAAUUGUCUAUCAAGUUUCAGCCCCUUACACACCACAACAAAAUGGUAUAGCUGAAAGAAAAAAUAGAGUCUUGACUGAAAUGGUAAAUUCAAUGUUAUCAUAUUCAGGUCUUGGACAAGGUUUUUGGGGAGAAGCUGUUCUAACAGCUUGUCAUAUAUUGAAUAGAGUUCCUAAUAAGGAAACUAAAAUAACCCCCUAUGAAUAAUGGAAGACAAGGAAACCAAACCUUAAUUAUUUGAAGGUUUGGGGUUGUAGAGCUAUUGUAAAAGUUCCAACACCUAAACGUAAAAAGUUAGGUGAAAGAGGAAUUGAAUGCAUAUUUAUAGGUUAUGCACAUAAUAGCAAGGCAUAUAGGUUCAUGGUAAUUGAACCAAAUGAUUCAAUUUCAAUUAAUACUGUUAUUGAAUCAAGAGAUGUUAUUUUUGAUGAAAAUAGAUUUAAUUCUAUAUCAAGACAAUUACAACCACAACAAUUGAUUCAGUCUUCAAAUGAGAAUGAGAUUCCAUUGAAACAAAUUGAUAAUAAUGAUGAAUCUUGUCAAGAAUUAAGAAGAAGUAAAAGGAUUAAAAAAAGUCAAAGAUUUUGGACCAGAUUUCAUUAUGUUUCUUAUAGAAGGAAAAGGUGAAAGUAUAUGCAAUAAGAUACCUUAUUGUUAUAAUACUGAAUCUGAUCCUAUUACAUUUGAAGAGGCAGUGAAAUCUCAAGACUCUGCUUUUUGGAAAGAAGCAAUAAAUGAUGAGAUGGAUUCAAUAAUGAGAAAUCAAACUUGGAUCUUAGUUGAUCUUCCACCAGGUUCCAAACCAAUAGGUUGUAAAUGGAUCUUCAAAAAAGAAAAUGAAGGUCGAUGGAACCAUUGAUAAAUUUAAAGCAAGGUUGGUAGCAAAAGGUUUUACACAAAGACAAGGUAUUGAUUACUUUGAUACCUAUGCUCCAGUAGCUAGAAUUGCUACAAUUAGACUAUUAAUAUCACUUACCUCUAUAUAUAAUUUGGUUGUUCACCAAAUGGAUGUUAAAACUGCAUUUUUAAAUGGUGAAUUGGAAGAGGAAGUGUACAUGGAGCAACCGAAAGGAUUUGUUGUUCCAGGAUAAGAGAAUAAGGUAUGUAAGCUUGUUAAAUCUUUAUAUGGGCUUAAACAAGCACCAAAACAAUGGCACCAAAAGUUUGACAAGGUUGUUUUAGCUAAUAGCUAUAAAAUAAAUGAAUCCGAUAAGUGCAUAUAGCAAAUUUGAUAAUGGAAAGGGUGUCAUAAUUUGCUUAUAUGUAGAUGACAUGCUCAUUUUUGGCACAGAUUUGGAACAAAUAGAAAAUACAAAGAAAUUCUUGUCAAACAACUUUGCUAUGAAGGAUAUGGGUGUAGCAGAUGUUAUUCUUGGGAUUAAAAUAACCCGAUAUGAAAGCACUAUAGCUUUAUCACAAUCACAUUACAUUGAAAAUGUGCUUAAAAAGUUUGAUCUUUUUAACUGUAUACCAGCAUCUACACCCAUGGAUCCUCAAUUAAAAUUAGUAUCUAAUGCUGGUAGGAAAAUUGAUCAAUUGAAAUAUGCAAGUCUAAUUGGUUGUCUUAUGUAUAUAAUGACUUGUACAAGACCAGAUAUUGCAUAUGCUGUUGGAAAAUUGAGUAGGUACACAAGUAAUCCAAGUAGUUUGCAUUGGCAAGCUUUGAAUAGAGUACUUAGGUACUUAAAGAAAACUAUAAACUAUGGAUUGUGUUAUAAUGGAUAUCCUCCAGUUUUAGAAGGGUAUUUGGAUGCUAGUUGGAUUACAAGUUUGGAAGAUCAUGCAUCUACUAGUGGAUGGAUCUUCAUUCUUGGUGGAGGAGUCAUUUCUUGGGGUUCCAAGAAAUAAACAUGUAUUACUGAUUCCACCAUGGCAGCAGAAUUUAUUGCAUUAGCCGCUGCAUCUAAAGAAGCAGAAUGGUUAAGAAAUUUGCUUUACGAUGUACCUUUAUGGCCUAAGCCAAUUUCACCUAUUUCUAUCCGUUGUGAUAGUGAGGCUACUCUAGCAAAGGCAUAUAGCCAAGUAUAUAAUGGAAAGUCUAGACACAUUGGAUUAAGACAUAGUUAUGUCCGACAAUUAAUCUCUGAUGGAGUGAUCACUAUUAAUUAUGUGAGGUCAAGUGAAAAUUUGGCAGAUCCUUUGACAAAAAGUCUUGCUAGAGAUGCAAUAAAAAGGACCUCAAAAGGGAUGAGACUCAAGCCUAUUAAUUAGAGUCACCCAUGAUGGAAACUCGACUCAACGCUUGGUAUAACGUCAAGUCUUGAGUUUAAUGAGACAAAGUACAUCAUUAGUAUGUGACUGUUAGCACUAUAAAUAAAUCCAUCCUAAGAUUAAAGUGCUAGAUACCCGUAAUGAUAAAGGAAGGAUGAGUAAUGUACUCUUAAUGGACCCAUAACAUAAAUAUGUUAGAGUGUUAUAAUUACGGGAACACUUUUGAUGGGAUCUACCUGUGUGAGUGGAAGUGUGGCCGCUUCUAGGAGCUUAAGGGCUUGGCUCUGACAGCACUCAUGAAAAGAGGACAUAGACACAUGACCAUGAUAGUGUCCCUAGAUACUAUGCAUUGACUGAUGUUGAAAUCAUUGUGUGAGAUGUGUUCAGUUAAUCAAAUGGAAUAGUUGGUUCAAAGCUUAGUCUACCAUGCAAUUUCGAUUAACUUUAACAUGUUUUUCACUAAGUGAAGGUUCAAUCGUAAGACACCUUUAUUUAUGCAAAUUGAUUUCCAAGAAUAUCAAAAUCUAAAUAUUUUGAAAAUGGGGGGAGAUUAUUGGAACAUUUUCAAAUAUUUAUAGUAUCCUAAUAACUAUAAAUGAAUGGGUGUAAUUAAUCAAAAGAUAAAUCUUUUGGUCAUUGAUCAAAAGUUAUAUCAUUUGAUUUUUUAAAAAAGAAUUAUAAUUAUUCAAAAAAUAUUAUUUGAAUAGUUACAAAAUUAAAUGAAUAAUUAUUGUUAUAUAUUUAUUCACAAAGACACCUAUUGAAAGAUGUCUCUAUGAAGAGACAAGAAAAUUCCUAUAAAUAGGAAUGGGUUUUCAUUUGGAAAUAGAUCAACAAAUUCUAAUAUUAUUUCUUCUCUUCCUUCAUUUUCUAAUAUUAUUAGAUCAUUCUAUAAAGUAUUACUACAGAAAUCCUUUGUAGAAAUUGAGUUUUUGUUAUACAUUACUCAGUGCAUAGUGGACUAUUUUCGUCAGUGCAAAACGUAAAUAGUCAUUGGCUUCAUUGUAUCCUCGAGGUUAAUUUGCUUGGAACUCAUUUGCACACUAAAGAUAAGUGGGGGCGAAUAUAACCUUAAAGAUAGUGGUUUGAUACACGCCUUGGAGCCUUGUCCUAUUUCUUCUUUUCUUUUCAAGUUCUGAUUGUGUGUUCGAGAUUUUCCUUACCGGAGUUCUGUACUAACAGGGAUUGUGCUGCUGGACAGGCAAGUUAUAUAUGCAACCCCGAAGACAACCUCUAUGCUUUACAAGCUGAAGUAGCAAAACUGAAGGAGCUCAGGGGUGAUCUGAUGAGCAGGGUCAGAAUUUCUGAAGAUGAGCAGUAGCAUAAGCGGCUAAACCAAGUUGAGGGUUGGCUUCAGAGGGCUGAUGAUGUGGUAGCCGAUGCUGAUCAACUGAGUCGGCAAAAGUCCUCAGCAAGUUGAAAAGUUAUGUAUGAGAGGUUGUUGUUCCAGGCAUCCCAGGUCCACCCACAAGUUCGGGAAGCAAAUGGCCACAAUACUCCAAGAGGUGAAACACUUGAAGGAGAAUAGAGAUUUCCGUGAUGUGGCCUGCAAGCCACCACUUCCUUCCGCAACUAAACGACCUUCUGAGCCAACUGUGGGUUUAGAGUCCUAUGUCAAUCAGGUUUGGAGCAGUCUUCAAAAGGAACAAGUGGGAGUUAUUGGCAUAUAUGGCUUAGGAAGGGUUGGCAAGCCAACCUCCUAAAUCAAAUCAAUAACAAAUUCCAUGAUACUACCCAUGAUUACUAUGUAAUUUGGGCAGUUUCAUCUCAAGAUUGGCUAAUUGAAAAAGUCCAGGAUCAGAUUGCCAAAAGAAUAGGCCUUUCCAAUGAAGGUUGGGAAUCUAAGAGCCGUGAUGAGAAAGCUGGAGAUAUCUUCAACGUAUUAUGUAGAAAGAAGUUUGCAUUGUUGUUGGAUGAUAUAUGGUGAUGAAGUUGGUUCAGCAUGCAGCAAACACUCGACAGCAAGCAGGCCAUGAAGACCAAGCUGUGUAGGAGCUGCUGGAACAAGCUAUUUUUGUUUAUUUUUGUAAUUUUUAGUUGAUGAAAUGUAAUUUAGUUCAUUUAGAACUAUGUUAGGUAAAUGAUUGAUGUAAUUUGCUAUCAUAUGAGCUGUUAAUUCAGCUUUGCUUGUAUACACAAGCUAAUCAAUUCAAUUUUCAAUGCUUAGUGGUGUUAGGUAACCAUUAGGUGUAUGUUUACUGUUUUUGACAAGCUUAGUGCUUGGUUUAUGUAUUGGCAUUAUGCCAUUAUUCAUUUUAUGAAUGUGAAUUAGUUUUUUUUGUUCAUCAAUUUUCUUCUUCAUUUUUAUAGCUUUUCUUUCUUCUUCUUGCUCGAAUUCAUUUGUUUGCUCAGCAAGUAUCGAGGCUUGCUCGACAAGAUACUUACUGAGUCUGUUAGUUUCUGUUGUUGCACCAACAAUUGGUAUCUAGAGCCUAUUUCUUAAGGGAUCUGUUAUACAAACCCAUGGCUUCAUCAAGCUUUUCACCAGCUGCACCUCAAGUCUUCAAUGGAGAAGGCUAUCACAUAUGAGUGGUCAAAAUGAAGACCUACCUGCAGGCUUUCGAUCUGUGGGAGGUGGUCAACUCAGAUGUUGAACCAGAGCCACUUAGAGCCAAUCCAACUGUGGCUCAGAUCAGGCAGCAUGCUGAUGAGAGGACCAAGAGGCACAAAGCCAUGUCUUGCAUCCAGAACUCAGUGUCUGAUGUAAUUUUCACAAGGAUUAUGGCCUGUGAAUCACCAAAAUAGGCCUGGGACAAGUUGCAAGAAGAGUUUCAAGGGACAGAAAGGACAAUGCAGCAACAGUUGUUGAACCUGAGGAGAAAAUUUGAGAAUUUGAAGAUGAAGGAAGAAGAAACUGUCAAGCAAUACUCUAACAGGAUUAUGGCUGUGGUUAACAGCAUCAGGCACCUUGGAGAGCAGUUCAAUGAAGCUAGGAUAGUGGAGAAGGUUAUUGCAACUCUGCCUGAGAGGUAUGAGGCAAAAAUCUCAUCUCUCGAGGACUUAAGGGACCUGUCCACCAUUUCCCUGACAGAGUUGAUCAAUGCUCUGUAUGCUUAAGAGCAGAGGAGAGCAAGUAGACUGGAGGAGCAUCAAGAAGGUGCCUUUCAGGAAAGAACAAAUAUUGCCUACAAAGGCAAGAAGGCCUAGAGAGACAAGCCAAGGAAUGAUGCUGCAAGAAGAGAAGGUCAGACUUGCAAGCACUGUAGAAGGGCUGAUCAUCCAGAAGAAAAAUGCUGGUUCAAUCUAGAUGCUGUAUGUCAGCAUUGUAAGAAGAAGGGUCAUGUUGAGAGAAUCUGCAAGAGCAAGGCCAAAUCAAGGCAGAAUCAGUUUCAACAGAUGAAAGUUGAGGCUCAUGUAGCUAAAGAGGAUAGUGACCAAGAAGAGCAAGUCUUUGCUGUGUCAUGCUCAGCUGCUCAGGAAAGGUUUUCAUCUGGUUGGCUCCUAGACAGUGGAUGCACCAACCACAUGACACCUGAUGCUGCAAUCUUCAAGUCUUUAGAUAGAAGCUGUAGAACUAAAGUAAAAAUAGGAAAUGACCAUUUUAUUCAAGCUGAAGGCAAGGGUGAUGUGCUGAUAUGCACUCCCACAGGUGCCAAAGUGAUUUCAAAUGUGCUCUUGGUGCCUGAAAUUGACAGAAACCUGCUCAGCAUAGCUCAGUUGCUGGAAAAAGGUUAUUCUGUUGUGUUCAAAGACCACUAGUGCCAAAUCAGUGAUCCAAGUAGAUCCAAACUGAUGGCAGUUCCUAUGGCUGAUAAGAGCUUUGUAGUUGACUAGACUAGGGAGUCAAACAUUGCCUACACAGCCACAUCAGAUGAAACCAAACUUUGGCAUCAAAGGCUUGGACAUGCCAACUUCAGAUUGAUGGCUCGAAUGGUCAUAGAGGACUUGGCUGAAAACUUCAUCAACUUAGUGGACCAUGAUGAUGUGUGUGAAGUGUGUCAGCUAGGAAAGCAGGUCAGACUCCCAUUUCCCUCGAAUCAAGUUUGGAGAGCCUCUGAAAAACUCCAACUGGUGCACACUGAUGUGUGUGGCCCUAUGAGGACUGAGUCAUUAAGUGGAAACAAGUAUUUCAUACUGUUCAUUGAUGAUUUUUCCAGAUAUUGCUGGCUUUACUUCUUAAAACAGAAAUCAGAGGUGGCCUCAGUGUUUUGGAAGUUCAAGACUGCUGCUGAGACUGAAACAGGCUGCAAGCUGAAGACCAUAAGGUUUGAUAAUGGGACUGAGUACACCUCAGCUCAGUUCCAAGCUUUCUGUGAUAAGGCAGGCAUCAAACAUCAGCUUACCAACACAUAUACACCUCAGCAAAAUGGUGUAAGUGAAAGGAAGAAUAGAAGGUUGAUGGAUAUGGCUAGGUGCUUGAUGAUUCAGAAGAAUUUGCCUAAAACACUAUGGGCAGAAGCAGUUAACACUGUAACAUACAUACAAAACAGACUUCCAACCAAGGCUUUGGAUCAGAAGACUCCAUUCGAGGCCUGGUUUGGCUUCAAGCCAUCACUAGCUCAUCUGAAGGUCUUUGAAUGCAUUUGUUAUGCACAUGUACCUGCUGUUAAAAGGGACAAAUUGUCUGAAAGGGCUCGACCUGGUGUUCUGGUGGGCUACAGCACUGUUAAGAAGGGCUAUAGGAUAUUGGAUCCUUCAACAAACAAAGUAUCAGUUAGCAGGGAUGUGGUAUUUAAUGAAAGGUCAUGUUGGAACUGAGAAAAGCAUGAACCUGAGGAAAUUUCAGAAGAACUUGUAGCAGACCAAGCUAAGCCAGAUCAAAAUGUUCCUGAAAUGGACAUUGAUGAUGAACCAAUUAGGGGAACAAGAUCAUUGACUGAAAUUUAUGAGAGGGCUCAUGUAGCCAUAGCUGAACCAAGUAACUUUGAAGAGGCUGAAGUUCAACAAGGGUGGAAGCAGGCAAUGGCUGAGGAGAUCAGCAUGAUUGAAAAGAACCAGACCUAGGAAUUAGUUGAAAAGCCAGUAAAAAAGAAGGUGAUUGGGGUGAAAUGGGUAUACAAAGCCAAACAGAAUGCUGAUGGUACCUUGAACAAACUAAAAGCAAGGCUAGUUGUCAAGGGGUUCAGUCAGAGGUAUGGCCUGGACUAUCUGGAGACCUUUGCACCAGUGGCCAGGCUCGACACCAUCAGACUGUUGAUUGCCUUAGCAGCACAGCUCGAGUGGAAGAUCCAUCAACUCGAUGUGAAAUCAGCCUUUCUGAAUGGUUUCUUAGAUGAAGACAUCUAUGUUGAACAACCACAAGGGUUUGAGAUAGCUGGCAGAGAGCAUAUGGUCUACAAACUGAAGAAGGCCCUAUAUGGUUUGAAACAGGCUCCAAGGGCCUGGUAUAGCAGAAUUGAUGGCUAUUUGAUUGGCUUGGGAUUCGAUCGAAGCAAGAGUGAGCCAACACUGUAUGUUAAGAGGCAAGGGACACAAACACAACUCAUUGUGUCCCUGUAUGUUGAUGACCUGCUGGUGACAGGAGAAGAUUGAGCAGUGCUAGUUGAUUUCAAGACCAAGAUGCAGGAAGUAUUUGAAAUGUCUGAUAUAGGGGAAAUGUCCUAUUUCCUUGGAAUGGAGGUGACUCAAGCACAGAAUGGGAUAUUUUUAAGCCAGAGAAGCUUUGCCACAAAGACUCUGACCAAGUUCUCCAUGCAAAACAGCAAGACAACUAAAACACCUGUUGCUGUUGGAGAAAAACUAUCGAGCCAAGGUGAUUUUGUAAAGGUUUGUGAAACAACCUACAGAAGUCUAGUUGGUUGUCUGUUAUAUUUAACAGCCACUAGACCAGACAUAAUGUAUGCUGUAGGAUUGCUCUCAAGGUUCUUGCAUUACUGCAAUGAGAAGCAUCUACAAGCUGCUAAGAGAGUGCUUAGAUAUGUCAAAGGCACUUUGGACUAUGGUUUAAGGUACAGCAAGGAAGGAAAUCUGAAGCUGGUUGGAUACACUGAUAGUGACUGGGCUGGCUCGAUAGAUGACAUGAAAAGCACCUCAGGGUAUGUUUUCAACCUUGGUUCAGCCAUGUUCUGUUGGAGCUCAAAGAAGCAAAGUCUGGUGGCUCAAUCUACUGCAGAAGUAGAGUAUGUGGUAGCAGCAAGUGCUGUCAACCAAGCCAUUUGGCUAAGAAAAAUCUUGGCUGAUCUGAAUGUGAAUCAAAAGGAAGCAACAGAGGUCCUCUGUGACAACCAAUCUGCUGUUGCAAUUGCUAAAAAUCCAGUGUUUCAUGGAAGAACAAAGCAUUUCAACAUAAAGUUGCAUGUUAUUUGAGAAAUGGAGCAAGCUCAGGAAGUGAAGUUGAUCCACUGUAAUUCAGAGAAUCAACUUGCAGACAUUUUGACUAAAGCCCUUAAUGUCACAAGGUUCGAAUGUCUAAGAAGAAAGUUAGGUGUUUGCACCAUGCAAACCAAGGAGGAGUGAUGAAGUUGGUUCAGCAUGCAGCAAACACUCGACAGCAAGCAGGCCAUGAAGACCAAGCUGUGCAGGAGCUGCUGGAACAAGCUGUUUUUGUUUAUUUUUUUAAUUUUUAGUUGAUGAAAUGUAAUUUAGUUCAUUUAGAACUAUGUUAGGUAAAUGAUUGAUGUAAUUUGCUGUCAUAUGAGCUGUUAAUUUAGCUUUGCUUGUAUACACAAGCUAAUCAAUUCAAGUUUCAAUACUUAAUGGUGUUAGGUAACCAUUAGGUGUAUGUUUACUGUUUUUGACAAGCUUAGUGCUUGGUUUAUGUAUUGGCAUUAUGCCAUUAUUCAUUUUAUGAAUGUGAAUUAGUUUUUUUUGUUCAUCAAUUUUCCUCUUAAUUUUUCAUAGCUUUUCUUUCUUCUUCUUGCUCGAAUUCAUUUGUUUGCUCAGCAAGUAUCGAGGCUUGCUUGACAAGAUACUUACUGAGUUUGUUAGUUUCUGUUGUUGCACCAACAUAUGGGAACGGUUUGAUCUCACAGGAGCCGGGGUAUCUCUUCCAACACAACAAAAUGGCUCUGAAGUCAUUUUCACAACUCGUAGUCGUGACGUGUGCUGUCAAAUGCAACCGAGCAUGGCUAAUAAUAUCAAAGUGGAAUGUUUGCCACUAGGAAAAGCUUUGAAACGGUUCAAGGAGAAGGUUGGGUCAGAAACCCUUCAAAUGCAUCUAGAUAUUCGAGGUUCAACAAGUUCUUUAGCUGUGCCAUUGAACAUGUAAGCCUUCUAGAUUUCAGAGAUUCAAGGUCACUGAAUAUUUUGGCUUUAGCAAAUCUGCAGAACCUAUAUUCUAUAAAAUGUACAAAUUGUAUGGAUCUGAAAGAAGUGAAGAUCGAAAGCAACAUAGUUGAAGGUGCAAGAUACUUCCAUAGCCUUCGGUAUGUAGGCCUAGGUUCGUGGUCAUGCAGCAAAAAUGGAGCAAAGUUGCUGCAUAUGCAACUCGUAACCAGUUGGCAGUAGCUGGAGCUUAUGAAUGCUGUUCAAGUUCAACUUAUUUUGUUACUUUAAGUCUAUAGUCUGUAACUUAGUUCUCUUAGGACUUUGUUGGUAAACUUUUGAUGUAUUUUUGAUGUUGAUUGACUGAAAAUUCAGCAAAGCACCUUAUGCAAGCUAGAUUAACAAUUUUCAAUGUAUUAAGUGGUGUUAGGUAAGUGAUUAGGUAGUAUUUUGACUUGUAAGCUUAACUUAAGUAUGAUAUAUGUAAUGGCAACUUGCCAAUGCUUUAUUAAUGAAAACAUUCAGUUUGUUUUUCAUUCAUAUACUCUCCAAUUUUUUCUUUGCUUUUAAUUCUGUUUUCUAUCAAGGCAAAUUCUGCUUUAGUUUCUUCUCCAAGCCACGAGUCUUGCUGAUCAAGCAAAACAACUUAGCUUGCUUUUUGCCCUUAACACCAACACAUACGGUAUCCACGGCACACAAAAGAUGCCUUACAAUGAACCCAUUGUGUCAAAACCAAAUAAAGUGGGAUAAAAGAGAGCUGUGUUCAAUGCAAGUCUUCCCACCAAGUCAAUGAUUUUACACACUUUACUGUAAUUAUCAUCAUAUUCACUAUUCUUUUUCCUUCUUCUUUUUUUGGUAUCAAAAUGCAUGUGAACUUCCAACAGUUUGUCUUUGUUUUUCUCCCCCUUGUAGUCUCAAACUUUCAUAGAACUCCAUAAGCAUCUUUGAUUUAAUCCUUGCUUCUAUUUCCAGAAAUUGUUGAACUCACUCUUCUACAAUCAAAACCAGGUAUGGGUAAUAUCUUCUCAAUCUCACUUUCCCUCGAUCCCAUCAUUACCCGUUGCUGGGAUUGUGCUACUGGACAAGCAAGUUAUAUAUGCAACCUCGAAGAUAACCUCCAUGCUUUACAAGCUGAAGUAGCAGGACUGAAGGAGCUCAGGAGUGAUCUGAUGAGCAGGGUCAGAAUUGCUGAAGAUGAGCAGCAGCUUAAGCGCCUAAACCAAGUUGAGGGUUGGCUUUCGAGGGCUGAAACUCUGAUAGACGAUGCUGAUCAACUGAUUGUCCAAAGUCCUCAGCAUGUUGAAAAUCUAUGUAUGGGAGGUUUUUGCUCCACUCAUCCUAGGUCCAGCAUCAAGUUCGGGAAGAAAAUUGCCAAAAAACUCCUAGAGGUGAAAGACCAGAAGGAGAAUGGAGAUUUCAGUGAUGUGGCCAGCAAACCCCCACUUCCUUCAGCAACUGAAAGACCUUGUGAGCCAACUGUGGGUUUAGAGUCCAAUUUCAACAAGGUUUGGAGCUGUAUUCAACAGGAACAAGUCGGAAUUAGUGGCAUAUAUGGCUUAGGAGGGGUUGGCAAGACAACCCUCCUAAACCAAAUCAAUAACAAAUUCCAUGAUACUACCCAUGAUUACCAUGUAAUUUGGGCAGUUGCAUCACAAGAUCGGCCAAUUGAGAGAGUCCAGGAUCAAAUUGCCAAAAGAAUAGGCCUUUCUAAUGAAGGUUGGAAAUCUAUUGAAGAGAAAGCUGAAGACAUCUUCCAGGUAUUAUGUAAAAAGAAGUUUGCAUUGUUGUUGGAUGAUAUAUGGGAAUGGUUUGAUCUCACAAGAGCUGGGGUACCUCUUCCAACACAAGAAAAUGGCUCUAAAGUCAUUUUCACAACUCGUCGUCUUGACGUGUGCUGUCAAAUGCAACCGAACAUGGAUAAUAAUAUCAGAGUGGAAUGUUUACCACCAGGAGAAGCUUUCAAACUGUUCGAGGAGAAGGUUGGAUCAGAAACCCUUCGAAUGCAUCCAGAUAUUUGCAAGUUAGCUGAAGCGGUGGUUGAAGAGUGUGCAGGGCUGCCUCUCGCUCUCAUAACAAUUGGGCGAGCCAUGGCAUCCAAGAAGACCCCUCGAGAAUGGGAAUAUGCUACAGAAGUUUUAAGGCAAUCAGCUGCCUCUGUGUUGCCAGGGGUAGGGAAAGAGAUGUAUCCCAAGUUAAAAUUCAAUUAUGACUGUUUACCUGAUGAAAGGUUCAGAUCUUGUUUCUUGUAUUGUUCUUUAUAUCCAGAAGAUUAUCUCAUAAAAGAAGACCAACUAGUAGAUUGUUGGAUCGGGGAAGGAAUUUUGGACGAGCAUACCAAUUUGAGCAAUGCCAGAAACCAGGGACAUUUCAUUAUAGGUUCUCUUAUUAACGCAUGCUUAUUGGAGAAAGAAGGUAAUCACUUUGUAAAGAUGCACGAUGUGAUUCGCGACAUGGCUUUGUGGAUUGCUGGUGAAUCUGAGAACGAGAGGUUUUUUGUAAAAUCAGGCGUUCAGUUAAAGGAACAACCGAAAGCUAAAAAGUGGGAAGAGGUAACAAGAAUGUCGCUGAUGGAGAAUCAAAUUGAAAAUCUAACUGAGAUAUUGGAAUGUCCCAAUCUCCAAACUUUGUUUCUUGGCAGCAAUGAUUUGAAGGUAAUCAUGGAUGAUUUCUUUAAUUUCAUGCCGAUGCUAAGGGUUCUGGACUUGUCUAGAAAUAUGAAUUUGAAAGAAUUGCCAGUAGGAAUUGCAAAGUUAGCUUCACUAGAACAUCUCAAUUUGUCACAGACUGGAAUAAAAAGGUUGCUAGUUGAAUUGAAGACCCUAGCAAAGCUGAAAUAUUUGAAUCUGGAGUGGACAUUGGAUCUAGAAAUGAUCCCACAACAAUUGAUAUCCAGUUUCUCCAAGUUGCAAGUACUGAAAAUGGUGGGAUGUGGCUAUGGAUGUUUAUUGGUUUUGGAGGAAAUGGAGCAUUUAAAAUAUUUGAAUGUGUUGACUCUUACUUUUAGAAGCGCUUCAGAGUUUGAAAAAGCUUCGAGGUUUAGCUGUGCCAUUGAACAAGUAAGACUUCUAUAUUUCAGAGAUUCAAGAUCAUUGAAUAUUAUGGCUUUAGCAAAACUGCAGCAUCUAUGUACUUUAAGCCUCUGCAGUUGUAUGGAUCUAGAGGAAGUGAAGAUCGAACGUAACAUAAUUGAAGGUGCAGGAUGCUUCCAUAGCCUUCGAUCUGUAAUGUUAGACGAAUGCAAUCAUUUGAGGGAUGUGAGUUGGGUAACUUUGGCUCCACAUUUGGAAGCACUAUGGAUAGGUGAAUGCAAUGGUUUAGAAGAAAUCAUCAGUGAAGAAAAACUUGGUGAAGUCGCUGAGCUAAAAGGAAAUUUAAACUUAUUUUCUAAGCUCGAGAUUUUGUUUCUACAUUAUCUGCCCAAACUAAAGACUAUAUACCGCCAUGCUCUGCCUUUCCCACAGCUGAAGGAAAUCAGAAUUGUAAAAUGCCCAAUGCUGAAGAAGCUGCCACUAAACUCCAAUAGUGCAAAAGGACAAAGGCUCGUCAUUAAAGGAGCAGAGGGAUGGUGGAAAGAUGUAGAAUGGGAGGAUGAAUCCACUAAAAUUGCUUUUCUCCCCACUUUCAAACCUGGUAUAUUGUAAGAAAUGUUGGAUACUAAUUAAGGGUUAAAAACCAUUAUUGUAUCAUAACAUGUGUCAUUGCAAGUUCUAUUUUGUUUUUCCCUGAAUUACAUGUAGCUUGGUUUUUUGUUUUACACAAUGACGUUUUCCUGUAUAUAAAAUAAAAUGUUUGAAUUUGAGAAUAUAUUAUGUUAAUGAAUUAUAAUUUGAAGUAUAACUCUCAACACAACUUAUGAUGUAAGAUUAGAUACUAAAUAUUGAUAAUUAUAUUGAGUGACAUAAUAUAAAUGCUACAAUAUUUCAAUAUUUGUAUUUUAAAAUUCAUUAAUACAAAUUACUAACAUUUUAAAAUUUUUAUGAUUAUAGAAUGCUAUUACAAAAAUUUAACAUAUAGGAAUUGCAAAGUUGGUUUCACUAGAAUAUCUCAACCUGUCAUUCACAAAAAUAAGAAAGUUGCCGGUCGAAUUGAGGGCCCUGGAAAAGCUGAAAUAUUUGAAUCUAGAGUGGACACGCGAUCUAGAAAUGAUCCCAAAACAACUUAUAUCCAGUUUCUCUAAGUUGCAAGUACUGAAAAUGAUGAGAUGUGGCUAUGGAUGUUCAUUGCUUUUGGAGGAUCUGGAGCAUUUAAAAUAUUUGAAUGUAUUGACUCUUACUUUUAGAAGCGCUUCGGAGUUGGAAAAAGCUUCGAGGUUCAACAAGUUCUUUAGCUGUGCCAUUGAACAUGUAAGCCUUCUAGAUUUCAGAGAUUCAAGGUCACUGAAUAUUUUGGCUUUAGCAAAUCUGUAGAACCUAUAUUCUAUAAAAUGUACGAAUUGUAUGGAUCUGAAAGAAGUGAAGAUCGAAAGCAACAUAGUUGAAGGUGCAAGAUACUUCCAUAGCUUUCGAUUUGUAGGCCUAACCUAUUGCAAACAAAUGAGGGAUGUGAGUUGGGUAAUUUUUGCUCCACAUUUGGAAAAACUACUUAUACGUGGUUGUAACAGUUUAGAAGAAAUUAUUAGUGAGGAAAAACUUGAUGAAGUCACUGAGUCGAAGGCAAAUACGAACUUAUUUUCUAGGCUCGAGGAGUUGGAUCUAUGUCGUCUGCCUAAAAUGAAGACAAUAUACUACCAUGCUCUGCCUUUCCCACAGCUGAAGAAAAUAUCAAUUGUAAAAUGCCCAAUGCUGAAGAAGCUCCUACUAAACUCCAAUAGUGCAAAAGGACAGGGACUCAUCAUUAAAGGAGAGAAGGGGUGGUGGAAAGAUGUAGAAUGGGAGGAUGAAUCCACUCGAACUGCUUUUCUCCCCUCUUUCAAACCUCAGUAAUCUAUGAAAUGUUGGAUAUUAAUUAAGGCUUAAAGCCAUUAUUGUAUCAUUGCAUACCUCACUGUAAGUUCUAUUUUGCAUAUCUUUAAAUUACAUGUAAUUUAUAAUAAAAUGUUUGAAUUUGAGAGUAUAUCAUGUUGGUUUUCUCUAUUUUUGCUUCUCCCAAAGAGCAGAGCUCAAAUAUUACCUUAUUUCAUUAUGAUGGUUCUGCUUCAAACUUACCUUUUCCAAAGGAGCUGAUGCAUUUAUGGAAGGACUUGAAGUCUUUGCGUCUUGUUGUAUAAUUCGACCAUGUGAAAUUUCACCUGAGUAAGAUAAAACAAAGGAAUUGUCUCAUCUAUAAAUCAAACUUGAAAUGAUAUGCACAUCUGUCAGUAGAUAACAUAAUUUCUUUCCCCUUUUUCAGACCACAUGCCAUAAGUCAGAAACAUAACCAUCGUAGUUACCUUUGGUAACAGGUUCCUCUGUCAAUCCAGAAGACUGCAUUUCUAAUAUACCGACUUCAGGCUCCGUUUAUCAAUAAGUUGGAAGGAUUAUCAAAGAAAGGCUAAAAGACAAAGAAGGCAUGCAAAGGUUUAAUCACUUACAGCAAACUGGUUAGUUAAAUCCUGAUGCAUAUAUUUAUUGGACAUCUCUUCAAUUGGUUCUUUGCCUUCGGACUGCUGUUGUUGUUUCCUUCACUCAGACUCAUACACCUAUUUCACAAGUGACACAUUCAACAUACAUUUGUAUUAGCAGGUAAAAAGCACCAAGUCCCAACAUUACCUCUCAAUAUCUUCGACCAUGAUCAAGAUAACUGUAACCUUCAUCUUUUUUCCUAUGAAAACCAGCUUUAGUCAGCUCAUCUUCAUCACCAUCACUUUCAGCAGCUUUACUCAACUCAUCUUCAGCUGAAGUUCUUCUUUCUCAAGUUCUUCCAACCUUGACAUUAUACUGCCAUGCUCUGCCUUUUCCACAGCCGAAGGAAAUAACAAUUGUAUAAGAAGCUCCCACUAAACUCCGAUACUGCAAAAGGACAAACGCUCAUCAUUUUAGAAGAUGAGUAGUGGUGGAAAAAUGUAGAAUGAGAAGAUGAAUCCAUUCAAAUUGCUUUUCUCCUUUUUUUCAUACCUCUGUAAACUACAAAUGCUGUCUAUUUUGUUGUCAAAUAACGAUAGUUAUUCAAAUAACAAGUAGGAUUUUAUUGUCAAAUAUGUAUCAUUAAACAUAUGGUCUUAUAUUUAGUGGCCUUCGUCUUCCAAUGCCGUCUCUUGUGUUCCCUUUUCUGAUCAUUGUUUAAGUGGCAAUAAUGGUGCUUGUAUGAAUGCGACUGAUUCAGUCCUAUCAGUAAGUGAGAAAAGCAUUUUUUGGAACUCUAGCUCCCAUUUGGAUAACAAAAACGUCCAAGGCUGUAGGUGCUUUAGUUCUUUACUUCUCUUUACAUUCCUAGAACAGGGAUUUCAUUUGCUGAUGAAUUGCUAGGAUGCUUCUCUUUACAUGCUGCUAUUAGUAUUCCUUUCUCUUUUUUUUGAUGGGAUCUUAGUUCUCCUCAAUAAUGCAAGUUGUCAAUGAGGGGAGUGGUUUCCACACAAAAGACAAGAAUUUCCUUGCAUCUGUCAUAACUCCUCAGCAUGCCAAAUUGGAAUUCAGACUUUAGAAUAAAAUUCAGGUUUUAAAAUUGCAGAUUCACUGGUUGAUUGCAAGUUGCCAAUAAGGGGAAUGGUUUCCACACAAAAGACAAGAUCCUUUUAUCUGUCAUACAUAUCAGCAUGCCAAAUUGGGCAUACCGUCCACCCAUAAUGCCCUGCCCAAAGUUACCAAAGAAAGUGGAACCCUUGAAAGAGAAAGAGAGAUGUUGGUCCAACAUGUGAAUUCCUUUAUGAAUGAAUAAAUUCAUAAUAACUUCAAACUUUAUAAUAUUAUAACCUUUUAGGUAUCAAAAUAUAUAACUUUUCUAAAAUACAAGUAUCACAUUAAAAAAAUUAUCAAACUUGUAAAAAAUGAUAUAUUAAGAUUUCCAUAAGUAUCUGUUGAGCAUGGACUGCAAUGCAACAGUCGACGAUGAUGCUGACCAGCAGCUGCAGCAGAUUAGCAUGCGAGCAGGACCAGAAGCAGCUUAGUCAAUUAGUUUACUUUUUUUGUUCAUUUUGUAAUGUUAUCUUAGCUGAAAUGUAACUAAACUUUAGAGUUGUUAGGAUAUGAAUUUGAUGGAUGUAAUGGCUGAAUUAUUCAGCUUUUCAAUUUGUAUCAUUUUGUAUUGCAACUUGCUAAAACUGAUGGGAGCAGUUACAAGUUUAGGUAACUGUCAUACCAAUUUUGUAACACUUUAUAUUUCAAAUGAAAUGAAAAGUAAAUGUAUACCAUUCGGUUACAUGUUUUUGUUUUUCUUUGUUUUUCUCUGCUUGCUGUUUGAGAGCUUAUGCUCUUUGUGUUUCAUUUGUUUUGUUUACUGCCAUUGUUCCAACAGUAUCAAACUUUGUAAACAUUUAUAUAUAUUUUAAUUAUUUUUUGGUACCAAUACAUGUGAACUUCCAACAGUUUGUCUUUGUUGACCUGCGAAUUUUCUUCCUCUCUGUUUUUGUUUACCAAAAUAUUCUCAAUCUUUCAUAUAACUCCAUAAGCAUCUUUGAUUUAUUCCUUGCUUCUAUUUCCAGAAAUUGUUCAGCUCACUCUUCUAAAAUCAAAACCUGGUAUGGGUAAUAUCUUCUCCAUCUCACUUUCACUCGAUACCAUCAUUACCCGUUGUUGGGAUUCUGCUGUUGGAAAGGCUUCUUUUCCAUGCAAACUUGAAGAAAACCUCCACGCUUUAAAAAAUGAAGUGGAAGAAUUGAAGGCGAUAAGGACGUAUCUUAUGAGCAGGGUCAGGGUCGCUGAAGAUGAGCAGCAACUUAGGCGGCUACCCCAAGUUGAUCUUUGGCUUCAGAGGGCUAAUCGUGUGACAACCGAUGCCGAUCAACUGAUUGUCAAAAGUCCUCAGCAUGUUGAAAAGCUAUGUAUGGGAGGUUGUUGUUCCAGGCAUCCCAGGUCCACCCACAAGUUCGGGAAGCAAAUCGCCAGAAUACUCCAAGAGGUGAAAGACAUGAAGGAGAAAGGACAUUUCAGUGAUGUGGCCUACAAGCCACCAAUUCCUUCCGCAGAUAAACGACCUUCUGAUCCAACUGUGGGUUUAGAGUCCUAUGUCAAUCAGGUUUGGAGCUAUAUUCAAAAAGACCUAGUGCGAAUUAGUGGCAUAUAUGGCUUAGGAGGGGUUGGCAAGACAACCCUCCUAAACCAAAUCAAUAACAAAUUCCAUGAUACUACCCAUGAUUACCAUGUAAUUUGGGCAGUUGCAUCUCAAGAUCGGCCAAUUGAAAAAGUCCAGAAUCAGAUUGCCAAAAGAAUAGGCCUUUCCAAUGAAGGUUGGGAAUCUAAGAGCCGUGAUGAGAAAGCUGGAGAUAUCUUCAACGUAUUAUGUAGAAAGAAGUUUGCAUUGUUGUUGGAUGAUAUAUGGGAAUGGUUUGAUCUCACAAGAGCUGGGGUGCCUCUUCCAACACAAGGAAAUGGCUCUAAAGUCAUUUUCACAACUCGUCGUCUUGACGUGUGCUGUCAAAUGCAACCGAACAUGGAUAAUAAUAUCAGAGUGGAAUGUUUACCACCAGGAGAAGCUUUCAAACUGUUCGAGGAGAAGGUUGGAUCAGAAACCCUUCGAAUGCAUCCAGAUAUUUGCAAGUUAGCUGAAGCGGUGGUUGAAGAGUGUGCAGGGCUACCUCUCGCUCUCAUUACAAUUGGGCGAGCCAUGGCAUCCAAGAAGACCCCUCGAGAAUGGGAAUAUGCUACAGAAGUUUUAAGGCAAUCAGCAGCCUCCGUGUUGCCAGGGGUAGGGAAAGAGAUGUAUCCCAAGUUAAAGUUCAGUUAUGACUGUUUACCUGAUGAAAGGUUUAGAUCUUGUUUCUUGUAUUGUUCUUUGUAUCCAGAAGAUCAUCCCAUCGAAAAAUACCAACUAGUAGAUUGUUGGAUCGGGGAAGGACUUUUGGACGAGCAUACCAGUUUGAGCAAUGCCAGAAACCAGGGACAUUUCAUUAUAGGUUCUCUUAUUGACGCAUGCUUAUUGGAGAAACGACAAAAUAAUGUUAGUGUAAAGAUGCACGAUGUGAUUCGCGACAUGGCUUUGUGGAUUGCUGGUGAAUCUGAGAAGGAGAAGUUUUUUGUAAAAUCAGGUGUUCAGUUAAAGGAACAACCGAAAGCUAAAAAGUGGGAAGAGGUAACAAGAAUGUCGCUGAUGGAGAAUCAAAUUGAAAAUCUAACUGAGUUAUUGGAAUGUCCCAAUCUCCAAACUUUGUUUCUUGGCAGGAAUGAUUUGAAGGUAAUCAUGGAUGAUUUCUUUAAUUUCAUGCCGAUGCUAAGGGUUCUGGACUUGUCUGGAAAUAGGAAUUUGGAAGAAUUGCCAGUAGGAAUUGCAAAGUUGGUUUCACUAGAACAUCUCAAUUUGUUAGGGACAGGAAUAAAAAAGUUGCCAGUCGAAUUGAAAGCCCUAGCAAAGCUGAAGUAUUUGAAUCUGGAGUGGACAGCUGAUCUAAAAAUGAUCCCACAACAAUUGAUAUCCAGUUUCUCCAAGUUGCAAGUACUGAAAAUGGAGGGAUGUGGCUAUGGAUGUUCAUUGGUUUUAGAGGAAAUGGAGCAUUUAAAAUAUUUGAAUGUGUUGACUCUUACUUUUAGAUGCGUUUGGGAGUUGGAAAAAGCUUCGAGGUUCAACAAGUUCUUUAGCUGUGCCAUUGAACAAGUAAGCCUUCUACAUUUCAGAGAUUCAAGAUCAUUGAAUAUUAUGGCUUUAGCAAAACUGCAGUGUCUAUGUGGUUUAAGCCUCUGGAGUUGUAUGGAUCUAGAGGAAGUGAAGAUCGAACGUAACAUAAUUGAAGGUGCAGGAUGCUUCCAUAGCCUUCGAUUUGUAAGGGUAGUCCUAUGCAAUCAUUUGAGGGAUGUGAGUUGGGUAACUUUUGCUUCACAUUUGGAAGCACUAUGGAUAGAUGAAUGCAAUGGUUUAGAAGAAAUCAUCAGUGAAGAAAAACUUGGUGAAGUCGCUGAGCUAAAAGGAAAUUUAAACUUAUUUUCUAAGCUCGAGAAUUUGUAUCUAUCUCGUCUGCCCAAACUAAAGACUAUAUACCACCAUGCUCUGCCUUUCCCACAGCUGAAGCAAGUAUACAUUAGAGGAUGCCCAAUGUUAAAGAAGCUCCCACUAAACUCCCAUAGUGCAAAAGGACAGAGGCUCGUCAUUACAGGAGAAGAGGGAUGGUGGAAAGAUGUAGAAUGGGAGGAUGAAUCCAGUCGAAUUGCUUUUCUCCCCACUUUCAAACCUUGUAUAUUGUAAGAAAUGUUGGAUACUAAUUAAGGGUUAAAACCAUUAUUGUAUCAUAACAUGUGUCAUUGCAAGUUCUAUUUUGUUUAUCUCUAAAUUACAUGUGGCAAUGACGUGUUUCUUUAUAUAAAAUAAAAUGUUUGAAUUUUAGAAUAUAUUAUGUUAAUGAAUUAUAAUUUGAAGUACAACUCUCGAGGUGUAUGGAUCUAGAGAAAGUGAAGAUCGAACGUAACAUAAUUAAAGGUGCAGGAUGCUUCCAUAGCCUUCGAUCUGUAAUCCUAGACGAAUGCAAUCAUUUGAGGGAUGUGAGUUGGGUAGCCUUUGCUCCACAUUUGGAAGUAUUAAGGAUAGCUGAAUGCAAUGGUUUAGAAGAAAUCAUCAGUGAAGAAACACUUGGUGAAGUCGCUGAGCUAAAAGGAAAUUUAAACUUGUUUUCUAAGCUCGAGAUUUUGUGUCUACGUAAUCUGGCCAAACUAAAGACUACAUACCAUCAUGCUCUGCCUUUCCCACUGCUGAAGAAAAUCAGAAUUGUAAAAUGCGGAAUAUUGAAGAAGCUCCCACUAAACUCCAAAAGUACAAAAGGACAGAGGCUGGUCAUUGAAGGAGAGGAGGGAUGGUGGAAAAAUGUAGAAUGGAAGGAUGAAUCCACUCGAAUUGCUUUUCUCCCUUCUUUCAAACAUUAUGUAAUCUAGGAAAAGUUGGACAUUAAUUAACGCUUAAAGCCUUGAUUGUAUCAUAACAUAUUGUUAGGGAUCGUCCCGAUUAAACAAGUAACAAAAAUAGCGGAAUAAAUUGAGAAAUUGAACACACAAAUUUAACGUGGAAAAAUCCCUCCAAAGAGGAUAAAAAACCACGGGCAAAGAUAAUUUUAUUAUAAUGGCAAAAGAAUGAAGAGUACAAAAGAUUGGAGAUAAAAACUAAACCCCGAAAACCCGAAAAACAAAGAAUCCUCAAAACGUAAACACAAAAUUCUCUGAAUGUGUUAUGAGUUCUAAUCUAAUGGGUGUAUUUCUUAAGGUUGUAAAAGAGCCUAUUUAUAGACUAAAUUCAUAUGUCAAAUAAUAAUAAAAUAAUCUAAACUAAUCAGUGUUUGACUGAAAUAAAUAAACAAAGUUUAACUAAAAGAUUAUUUUUCUAAUUUGACUACAAAUAGGAGUCAUACUUAACACAUAUCUAAUUGUAAGUUCUAUUUUGCUUAUCCUUAGAUUACAUGUAGUUUGGUUCUGUGUUUUACACUGACACUUUUUUUCUUUAGUAUGAAUUUGAAAAUAUAUUAUGUUAAUGAAUUAAAAUUUGAAGUAUAACUUUCAACAUAUCAUAUCAUUUUCUUUUAAUUUUAUAACUAAAAAUUUCCAUAAUUAUAGUAAAAUUAAAACUUUUCUUAUAAAUGUUGUUUUAGGUUGUAUUUCUGUAUAUUUAAAUAUGAGAUAAUUUUUUAUAGGAGAGAAAAUGUAUUAAAUAUAAAUUUGGAAUUUUAAAAAAUUAAAAAUUUAAGUUUUAAUAAGUUAAUAAAAUAUAAUUUAUUUUCAUUUAUUAUACAUGUUAUCAACAAAAAAAAAACUUAUCAUAUAAGAUUAGAUACUAAAUAUUGAGAAUUAUAUUAUAAUAAAAUAACGGUGACAUAAUAUAAAUUUCAAUAUUUUUAUAUUAAAACUCAUUAAUACAAAUUAUUAACAUUUUAAAAUUGUUUAUGAUUAUAGAAUCUGAUAUCAUGCAAGUACAAAAAUUAACAUAUUCGUUUCAAUGUUGAAAUAUGGUUAAAUGAUUAGAACGUGAGUUUGAGCAAAAAAUAAAUACAAAUUAUUUUUUGAUUCACACGUUUAAGAGACUAUAAUUAAGCAGUAAUUGGAAAUGUAUAAAAAAAUUUAUUAUUUAUAUUGGUUUUUGUUUAAUAAUUUUCUUUAAAAGACACCAACUUAAGCAUUGUUUCGAUAUCAUAUAUGAGCCCGGUUUAAUCUGUGAACAUCUUUAUUCAAACCCGAUUACUUAAAGUGAGAUUAUGUAUAUGAAUUCUCUAAAAUUAUAGACUCAUAAACAAGUUAUUGCAAUUAAUACUCAAAUGGCAGUCUCUGAAUUUAAUAAGUUACAGCAAACUGAUUAGUUUAAUGUUUGAUGAGUACAGUUAUUAGACAUCUCCUACUUCCUUUGCAUUUUGAAUUUAGCCCCUCUUGUAACACUAAAAUAACAUUAACAGGUAAAGACUGUGCACAGAGGUAAGCAUACUAUGCCCAAUUUCAACUUGAUUUUGUAAUAUUUUUUAUAUGGGUUCCAUGUCUUUAAUUGGAUUAUAAUAACCCCUGAAACAAUUUCUGAAUUCUUCCAUUGGCAUAAAUGGUCAUGAAUUCAGUUACCUUGAUCUUCCACUGUUAUCUGUUUUUUGCUGAUGUUUGUUUAAGUGGCAAUGAUAGUGCUUGUUAAUAUCUCAUACAUGAAUGCUGUGGGAAGCUAAUGCAGGGCAAAGCAAGUUGUGAGUUUCUACCCAACAUGCUCAUCUUAGUCUCUCUUUUCUGAUGGGAUCUUAAUAAUUGAGGUUCUUGUAUCUUUGUUGAAGUGGAAGCCUUUAAAGAAAGAGGUAGGUCCUAACAUGCCUGCUUUUUAUAUUAAACAAACUUUACACCUACUAUGAUUAAUUAAAAUAUGUCGUAUUAAUGUUGCUCAAGUUGUAAAAUAGAAUAAGAAAUUGCAGAUGGUAUCCACGGCACACAAAAGAUGCCUUACAAUGGACCCAUUGUGUCAAAACCAAAUAAAGUGGGAUAAAAGAGAGCUGUGUGCAAUGCAAGUCUUCCCACCAAGUCAAUGAUUUUACACACUUUACUGUAAUUAUCAUCAUAUUCACUAUCUUUUUUCCUUCUUCUUUUUUGUAUCAAAAUGCAUGUGAACUUCCAACAGUUUGUCUUUGUUUUUCUCCCCCUUGUACUCUCAAACUUUCAUAGAACUCCAUAAGCAUCUUUGAUUUAAUCCUUGCUUCUAUUUCCAGAAAUUGUUGAACUCACUCUUCUACAAUCAAAACUAGGUAUGGGUAAUAUCUUCUCAAUCUCACUUUCCCUCGAUCCCAUUAUUACCCGUUGCUCGGAUUGUGCAACUGGACAAGCAAGUUAUAUAUGCAACCUCGAAGAUAACCUCCAUGCUUUCCAAGCUGAAGUAGCAGGACUGAAGGAGCUCAGGAGUGAUCUGAUGAGCAGGGUCAGAAUUGCUGAAGAUGAGCAGCAGCUUAAGCGGCUAAACCAAGUUGAGGGUUGGCUUUCGAGGGCUGAAACUCUGAUAAACGAUGCUGAUCAACUGAUUGUCCAAAGUCCUCAGCAUGUUGAAAAUCUAUGUAUGGGAGGUUGUUGCUCCACUCAUCCUAGGUCCAGCAUCAAGUUCGGGAAGAAAAUUGCCAAAAAACUCCUAGAGGUGAAAGACCAGAAGGAGAAUGGAGAUUUCAGUGAUGUUGCCAGCAAGCCACCACUUCCUUCAGCAACUGAAAGACCUAGUGAGCCAACUGUGGGUUUAGAGUCCAAUUUCAACAAGGUUUGGAGCUGUAUUCAAAAGGAACAAGUGGGAAUUAGUGGCAUAUAUGGCUUAGGAGGGGUUGGCAAGACAACCCUCCUAAACCAAAUCAAUAACAAAUUCCAUGAUACUACCCAUGAUUACCAUGUCAUUUGGGCAGUUGCAUCACAAGAUCGGCCAAUUGAGAGAGUCCAGGAUCAAAUUGCCAAAAGAAUAGGCCUUUCUAAUGAAGGUUGGAAAUCUAUUGAAGAGAAAGCUGAAGACAUCUUCCAGGUAUUAUGUAAAAAGAAGUUUGCAUUGUUGUUGGAUGAUAUAUGGGAAUGGUUUGAUCUCACAAGAGCUGGGAUACCUAUUCCAACACAAGAAAAUGGCUCUAAAGUCAUUUUCACAACUCGUCGUCUUGACGUGUGCUGUCAAAUGCAACCGAACAGGGAUAAUAAUAUCAGAGUGGAAUGUUUACCACCAGGAGAAGCUUUCAAACUGUUCGAGGAGAAGGUUGGAUCAGAAACCCUUCGAAUGCAUCCAGAUAUUUGCAAGUUAGCUGAAGCGGUGGUUGAAGAGUGUGCAGGGCUACCUCUCGCUCUCAUUACAAUUGGGCGAGCCAUGGCAUCCAAGAAGACCCCUCGAGAAUGGGAAUAUGCUACAGAAGUUUUAAGGCAAUCAGCAGCCUCCGUGUUGCCAGGGGUAGGGAAAGAGAUGUAUCCCAAGUUAAAGUUCAGUUAUGACUGUUUACCUGAUGAAAGGUUUAGAUCUUGUUUCUUGUAUUGUUCUUUGUAUCCAGAAGAUCAUCCCAUCGAAAAAUACCAACUAGUAGAUUGUUGGAUCGGGGAAGGACUUUUGGACGAGCAUACCAGUUUGAGCAAUGCCAGAAACCAGGGACAUU
rnacentral:lncRNA from 1 species